rnacentral:rRNA from 1 species
CCUACGGGUGGCAGCAGUGGGGAAUAUUGCACAAUGGGGGAAACCCUGAUGCAGCGACGCCGCGUGAGUGAAGAAGUAUCUCGGUACGUAAAGCUCUAUCAGCAGGGAAGAAAAUGACGGUACCUGACUAAGAACCCCCGGCUAACUACGUGCCAGCAGCCGCGGUAUUACGUAGGGGGCAAGCGUUAUCCGGAUUUACUGGGUGUAAAGGGAGCGUUGACGGCAGCGCAAGUCUGGAGUGAAAUCCCGGGGCUUAACCCCGGAACUGCUUUGGAAACUGUGCGGCUGGAGUGCAGGAGGGGUAAGCGGAAUUCCUAGUGUAGCGGUGAAAUGCGUAGAUAUUAGGAGGAACACCAGUGGCGAAGGCGGCUUACUGGACUGUAACUGACGUUGAGGCUCGAAAGCGUGGGGAGCAAACAGGAUUAGAUACCCUAGUAGUC